rnacentral:lncRNA from 1 species
CUGGCCAGCAGGCGCAGCAUGCGGUCCAGGAUGACGGGGGCGUCAGGGUUCUUGGUCGGCAGCUGCGAAGCUAAGUCCGCCGGAGAAACGAAAGCGCCAGGCCCGGCCUUCGCCAUGAUCUCGAGGAGGUCGAGCUCGAGGGCUGCCUUGAGCACCAUGGGGGGAACGGAGGCGCUGGCGAGCUGCAUGGCGAAGAGGUUGGUUUCUUCGUCGGAGACUUGGGUUGGAGUCAUCUGAUUCUCUCCGGUCGAACACAUUUGUUGGAUUUGGUGUUGGUGCAGAGAGAGAGAGAGAGAGAGAGAGAGAGAGAGAGAGAGAGAGGAUGGGAGAAGGACUGAGAGUGGAAGAGAUGGAUGUACUAAUGGGUGUACUGACUGGCAAUAUAUAGGGAUUUGUUUGCUCACCCACCACAACAAUAUUUUGUAACGUUGUUACGAAAAUGGAUUUUAAAUUGUCGAGAGUUCACAAGAGUCUCACUGUUUAGGGUCCCUUUAGCAUUUAUGGGUACGAGAAAUGUGUAAAUUUGACUCUCGUAAUAUCAUUUUUAAUAAAAAAAAUAUAAAUAAAUUGAAUGAUAAUUUACAAAUCCAAACUUUCUUAUAAAAAAAGUGGUUUUUAUUCAAUAUAAGGUUAUACUUGAUGGUUUAAAUUAACACAAACGGAUUUCACAUGGUUCAAUUAAUAUAUUGUUGGGAAUUUUAACGAAAAGUACUCGGUACUGUUCACUUUAACGAAAAAUCACAUUUUUACAUUAAAAAGUCAAUCAUGGUACUAUUCACUUUACCCUUUAUUUUGUCCUUAUCAUUAAAACUCCAAGUUUUCAAGUCAUUUUCAUUAGUUUUCCUUAUAUUGUUCUCUGUGUACGUUACCACUUGCAUUAUCUAUUAAAGUAAGAAGGAAUACCACAAAAUGUAAACCCUUCAAACCAAUGGCGAACGAACUAAGAAAAGUCUCUCUGCCGAAUACAACAUGACAAGAAGUUAUGUAAUGGAGCACUUGUAGCAGGUGAUGGAGUCCUUGUUAUUUGUUUAUUUAUUCAUUAUUUAGAUGGUGUUUGAAAAGAUUUCUCUUAGUUGAUCCGGCAAAACAAGUUAAAUUAUGUAAUAAAAAUGGUAUUUUUAUAAUCUAGUUGUAUCAUUAUUUAUAUUAUUUCUCUAAUAGAGAUGGAAUCCACAUACGUUGACGUGUUCUAUUUCUAUUAAAGAGAUGAUACAAAUAGAUGGUAAGUAUAACAUUACUCGUAUGUAAACACCAUUGUCUUAUGCAGUCUAAGUUGUUGGAUGGAGAAGCUUAAGAUAACUUCAAAUUAUUGUUGACAGAUAAUAUUGUCAUUUUUUAUCAUGAUAAUUAUCUAUUAACAAUUUAUUGGAAUUAUCUUGGCAUUUUCCUAUGUAAGAUAUUUGAAAAAACAAAAGUCAAGGAGCUGUGAGUUGGCUUUUAUUCCAGAAUCCGGAUCACACCCAAACACAGAGCCACAUUAAGGGCUGCCUAGGCUGUAGCCCAAGUAGCUUUUGUUAGAAAAUAAAAUUCUACAUGUAAUUUUUAUUGAUUUUCGAAUGUAAUUCACCAUAUAUUUAGUAACUGAUUCAAAUUCUUUUGUUUUAAUUAUAUAAUAUAGUUUGCAAACUAUCUUUUUUUCUCACAUCUUUUUUCGCUUCUUAUACAUGUACAAGUUUGAAUUUGUUUGAAUAACGAAAGUUCUUGGCUCAUCUUGUGAAAAAUUUCUUAAGCUAGCUGAUAUUGUAAAAAAUAUUGUAUCAAGUUUUUUUGUUUAUAAAGAUUUAAAUCUUUAAGCUAGUCCACCCGGUGAAAAAUUUUUAGCUCCGCCGUUGAUCACACCAAAUGAAAAUUCACAUUUCAAUGAUCCAGUGAAAAGGUUGAACAUUUCUUGACAUCAAAUAUUACUAUAUAUUAAUGUCAAUGGGUGCAUUUUUGUUCUUCAUUUUCAAAUGGUAGUAAUGGUCAUCAUCUUAUUUAUUAGUAUUGGAUGAGUCUAACUUUUGAUAUUUGUAUCUAUUUACCACACAAAUUUUGAAAUUUAAACUGUGAUAAAUAAAAUGUAGAACAUGAUUAUCACUUAAGGGUGGUGGUAAACAAGAAUAUUCUCUAAUGUUAAUAGUUGCUCCAGUGAAUUACUCAAAACAGUAUGCACCUACCAGCGUUGAAAAUUGAAAUGCAAACUCCAUUAAGUAUUAGGUAAGUGCACAAGUGAUAUUAUAUAUGGAGUAGGAUUAUCUUCCCUCUUUUUUUCUUUCCUCUUAUCUUUUCUCUUAUUUGAAUGGUCACGGUUAAAUCACGUUAACAUCUUAUAUUAAUUUUUUAUAGUAAAAAAAAGAUAAAAUAAGAUAUAUUAAUUUUUUAUAAUAAGAGAAAAAUAAAAUAAGAUAAAUGAUGAAAAUGGAUAAAAAAUGAUGAGAGAGAAUCCUAAUUCAUUAUAUAUUGGCUGUGGUUUGAGAAAUCGAGGAGGAUCACGUCACCGAUCACGUCUCAUCUAACAUUUUGAACAUGCAGACGGGCGAUCAGAUGCAGCUAUAGGACCCUAGUCUCUUUUUUGUAGAAGAAAGUUAUCUUCUCCAGACACAGAGCAUAUAAUACAAAAAUAUUAUUAUGUAUGACUUCUAUUUUUUAAAGUGCAAUGUUUUGAAAUGUAAAAACGUGCAAAGAAUAUUUUGCAGAAGAUAAUUUCUUCAAUUGCUACUGAGAGACUUUAUACAAAGAGAGAUCUUGUCGAAGAAGUAACCUAGCCUACAUUCUAGGUUUUACAAAAAUUCACAAAUAAAUUACAAACAAUUUACAAAAUAGUUUCCUAAAACUAAGCCAAGAUAUCAUAAAUGAUAUCAUUGACUUCUCAACACUCCCUCUCAAGUUGGAGAGUGGACAUUGAGAACUCCCAACUUGUGAAUGAUCUUUGAGAAAGUUUCCUUCCCUAAUGGCUUUGUGAGUACAUCUGCAAGUUGAUUGGAAGAAGGAACAAAUCUUGUAACAACUAAACCAUCUUGUAUCUUGUCCCGGAUGAAGUGACAACCCAUUUGUAUAUGCCUAGUUCGCUCAUGAAAAACUGGGUUAGCAGCAAUGUGAAGAGCUGCUUUAUUGUCGCAAUGGAGCAGAGCCGGUCUUUGAUGUAGUAUACCUAGGUCUUUCAAUAAAUAUCGUAGCCAUGAUAAUUCACAACAAGUUCCAACCAUGGCUCGAUACUCGGUCUCCGCUGAUGAUAAAGACACAGUCUUUUGUCUCUUUGACUUCCAAGAAAUCAAUGAAGAGCCCAAAAAAAUAUGUGAUGCACAAAAUCAGUUAGGACUUUGGUACAACAGAAAGUGUGAAGUUUGUGACCUUCGCUAAAUUGCUCCGGUCACUAAUGUGGAUAAAUAUGUAAAUGGACAGGGACAGGGAAGCAAAUACAAGAUGUACGUGGUUCACCCAGAUUGGCUAUGUCCACGGAGUAGAGGAGUUCUCAUUAAUUGUGAAGGGUUUACACAAGUACAUAGGUUCAAGCUCUCCUUUAGUGAGUACUAGUGAAUGAUUUAGUACAAAUGACAUUAAGAAAUAUUGUGAGAGAAUGAUCUCUAUUUAUAGAAGAGAGUUUCUAGUUUCAUUCUGACAUUGACACGUGUCGUGUUGUGAUUGGCUUCUGAUGUUAACACGUGUCGCGCUAUGAUUGGCUUCUGAUGUCGACACGAGUCGCACUGUGAUUGGCUUUCUGGUUGGAGGGAAAGUCUUCUGGGUCCUUGACGGUAUAACGUUGACCGGUGCUCAGUAGUUUCGGGAUUGGUCAAGUAUGGUACAAACAGUGCUCCCCUAAGUUCCCGAGUGAGGGAAGCUCCUCGGUUGGGGACUUGCAAGAUCCAAGCCAUUGAGUAAUCACGAAACUUCUAAGUACCGAAGUGUGGUAUCAUUUUCACUUGCCUUAUCUGUCUCAUAUGUAGAUGUGGCAUCUUCUCUGGAAGUACUUUUCCUCCAUCCAGGGGUGGUAUCUUUAACCGAUGAAGUUGCACAAGGUAAUGUAUCAAUUUCACUUGAAGCUUACUUGUAGUUUCGGGCUUGGUCAAGUGCUAUACAAACCCUAUUGUAGGAGUCCUCUAAGUCGCCAAGCUAGGAGAUUUGCCGAAUGAGGUAACAGACAAGGUAAGCAAUCAGACUUCCAAGCAAGCAACCUGGAUCGGAGGUUCGACUUCGGCUUCCGGUUGAUUGUUCUUCUUCUCAUUGUGUCAUAAAUAGCACCAAGGAUAAAGAGAAGCAAUUGGAGAAGAGAUGAUAUGAGAUACUUUUGCUUUUGAAGAAGUAACUUUCCACAUGCUUAUUCUUGAACUGGGCUUGAGGGUUUUCUGGUUUCCUCCAGAGUAUAAGGCCGACUCAAGAAUUUGAGGGUCAAAACAAGUCCAUCAAAUCUAGAAUACGUUCGACCCUGAUGAUAUGGGAUACUUUUGUUGUUGACAAAGUAGUGGAUGUAUCGGCACGUGUUCUGUUACGCUUGUGUCCACAUGCUUCCAUGUAUCCUUCUCACUUGCCCUAUCUGUUCCUCAAGCAGGGGUGGUAUUUUCUAUGGAAGCAUAAGAUGUUGAAGAUGAGUACUCGACAGCAAUGUAAGGUAAGUAAUCAGGCAAGGGGUUCUAGGCAGUCAGUUCCUGACUGGAAGCUUGAUUCCAAAUGCUGACUGAUUGCUUUCUUUCUCCUUGUCUUGCAGGUAAGAAUAAGGCCAAGGGAAAAGACAGAGAAAAAACAUGAUAUGGGAUACUCUUGCUUUUAGCCUUGAUGAUAUGAGAUACUCUUGCUCUGGUGUGACUUGUUUGCAGAGGUAUUAUCGAGAGGAAAAGAAACUGAGUAUUUCGAGAGACUCUGCUGAGAGUGCCCUCUCGGAUGUGAAGAAACGUUGAGCAUUUUUUUUAUUUGCAGGUUUGCCUGGCUGUGGAGGAUGGAGGUCGACAUAUAUAGAAGUCUCCCUAACAACAAGUAGUAGUGUAAUUCCUUUACCCUUUUUGGUCAUAGCAAUGUAGUGGGAGCUGCAAGCUUCACAUGUUUUAACUUUGUCAGAGCACUUUGAAAAAAAAUGGUCUGUGGUAUCUGGAAAACUGAUGUUGCGUGUGAAGAUUGCAGACAAGUUUUAUCCAAGGAAAUCUGGCUCUCGAAGUUCGGAGAGCGGUGCCUCUUCGAUUUCGAACAAGCAAUCCUGUCGGAGAUCUGGCUCUCGAGAUUCAGAGAAUGGUGCCCCUUCGAUUUUUUAGAAAGCAAUCAUGUUGGGAGUCUGACUCUUGAGAUUUGAAGAGUAGUGUCUCUUCGAUUUUUGAGAAAGUAAUCAUGUUGGGAGUCUGGCUCUUGAGAUUCGGAGGGCGGUGCUUCUUCGAUUUUUUAGAACGUAAUCCUGUUGGGAGUCUGGCUCUCAAGAUUCGGAGAGCAGUGCCUCUUCGAUUUUUGAGAAAGCAAUCAUGUUGGAAGUCUGACUCUUGAGAUUCGAAAAGCAGUGUUUCUUCGAUUUUUGAGAAAGUAAUCAUGUUGGGAGUCUGGUUCUCGAGAUUCAGAGAGCAGUGUCUCUUCGAUUUUUGAUAAAGUAAUCCUGUAGGAAGUCUGACUCUUGAGAUUCGGAGAGCAGUGUCUCUUCGAUUUUUGAUAAAGUAAUCCUGUAGGGAGUCUGACUCUUGAGAUUUGGAGAGCAGUGUUUCUUUGAUUUUUGAGAAAGUAAUCAUGUUGGGAGUCUGGCUCUCGAGAUUCAAAGAAUAGUGUCUCUUCGAUUUUUGAUAAAGUAAUCUUGUUGGGAGUCUGGCUCUCGAUAUUCGGAGGGCGGUGCCUCUUCGAUUUUUAAGCACGUAAUCCUGUUGGGAGUCUGGCUUUCGAGAUUUGGAGAGCUGUGCCUCUUCGAUUUUUGAGCAAGCAAUCUUGUUAGGAGUGUUUUCUCGAAUGUGAGUAAAGGUUGGGCAUUUUUUGCCAGUCUGCCUUACCACGGAGCAUGGAGGUUGACACACAUUGGGACUUUCUAGUUAUCAAGCAGUGGUGCUGUUCCUUUACCCUUAUGGGUAAUAGUAGGGUAGCUGGACCUUCAAAAUUUAUGUGUCUAAACUUUAUCAAAGAUCUUUGGCAAAGUUAUCUGUGGUACCCGAGGAGCUGAUAUUGCAUGUGGAAAGUGGUGCCUUUUUGGAAUCCAGAGAGUGGUGCCUCUUUGAUUUUUGAACCAACGGCCUUGUUGCCUUUUCUUUUAUAAGGGCACCAUUUGUGUGCAAGAAAUACAUUCAGAGAGUUAUUGUUAGUAGGAAUUUUCCCCUUACUUCAGAGAUUUAUUGCACCUCAUUUUUCCUUCAUCAUUUCUGAGAAUGUCUGGCUCAUCCGACCGUCGUUUUGAUUUAAACUUUGGUGAAGAGGCAGACAUGCCUUCUCAAGACAACAUAUGGCGCUUAUCCUUCUUAUCCCCUACUGGUCCUCUUACCGUUGGGGACUCUGUGAUGAAGAAUGAUAUGACCACUGCGGUGGUGGCCAUGAACCUUCUCACUCCCAAAGAUAACAGACAACUUUCCAAACGGUCUGAUUAGUUGGCUGUUAAGGAUUCUCUGGCUCUCAGUGUUCAGUGUGCAGGUUCUGUGUCUAAUAUGGCCCAAUGCCUAUUUGCUCGAACCCGCCAAGUUGAAUCAUUGGCGGAUGAAGUGAUAAGUCUCAAACAGGAGAUCAGAGGGCUCAAGCAUGAGAAUAAACAGUUGCACAGGCUCGCACAUGACUAUGCUACAAACAUGAAGAGGAAGCUCGAUCAGCUGCAGAAAUCUGAUGGUCAGAUUUUACUUGAUCAUCAGAGGUUUGUGGGUUUGUUCCAAAUGCAUUUAUUGGCUUUGUCUUCUGGGGCUGUACCGUGUAAUGAAGCUCUAAAUGAUCAACCUUCGGUGCCUCUUCAUUCUAAGGUUCUGCCUAGUACUGAGGCUCCGAAUAAUCACCCUCUGGUGCCUUCUCUUUCUGGGGCUCUGCCGACUACUAAGACUUCUUCUGAGCAACCUUUGUGAAGGCUCCCUCUUGUUUGUUUAUUUUGAUUCAUGUAUAUAUACAUAUUUGUAACUUAUCGGAGAUAUCAAUAAACAAGCCUUACUUCAUUUUAACGUAUUGUGUUAAAUACACCAAGACCUUCUUCACUAAGUUUUUUGAAUUUUUCCUUUUGUUGAAGCUUGUAUGUUGAAGCUUUGUGAGUGAAGCUUGUAGGUUGAGGUAGUGCUCCCUUAAUUUCCCAAGUAAGGAAAGUUUCUCGUUUGGAGACUUGAAAAAUCCAAGUCACUGAGUGGUCGUGAAACUUCCGAGUAUCAAGGUGCAGUAGCAUAUGGUAGGAGUCCCCCAAGUCUCCGGUUGAGGGAGUUGACGAAUGAGGCACUUCCUUUCUAAGUGAUAGCCAAAAACUCAUUCUUCAUAUAUAUUUGUUAUGAAAGUUGUUAGGCCCAAAGAAGAGGAGGCCUAGGCAAUUCGGCACUGACACGAUGACGCUCAGCGCGUACGCCGACUUGUCCCUUCAUUUUCGACCCGAAGUCCGCCAUCAAUUCCACCAGCGGCUUCAUGAUUCUUGACUCGACGGCUCUAAUCUUGUUCUCUUUGACCAAGUACGAAGCCGUCGACGCGUCCUUCUUCCCAUGAAAGCCUCCACACUUUAGAAGGUUCACCAGAAGCGGAAUAGUUCCCGACCGUCCGAUUGGGGCUUUGUUCUCUUCGAUUUGCGAGAGGCGAAGCAGUGCGUUUUUUGAGUUGGCUGAGAAGGAAAUUUAGUCGGUCAACGGCUCGGCUCUGGAGGCUUUCAGCUUCUUCUUGUCGAGCAUGGCUUUUCUCUCCGUCUGCCUCAAAAAUCCACCGGAGAAGGACUGAGUUUGGCCAGACUCAUUUAUGCCCAGUGAUGUCUUGAGCAUAUGCAACGACUGCUUUCUCACCAAACUCUCCUUAUGAACCAAGCCUCUUUUAAUUCUGUCCCAGUAUUCAUUUUCUGCUCUGGUAUCAAAUCAUUCGAGUUUAUCAGCCAUGGAGUCAGCUCUUCCACUUGGGUUCAGUCUGGACUGAUGCAAAUAGUGAGACGGUGACGACUGCCGCGAAGGGGAAGCGGAGAGAAUUAGAGUGAAAGCUGUGAAGUUACAGUGAAACAGCUUGACUUGAGAUGUGACUGAGAGGAAGAGAGACGACGGCGGCUUGAGAGAAAGUGAGAUAGACAAAGUCGAAUUGAGGUUUGAGGUUUGUGGGGGUCGUAGGGUUACUGCUGCUGCUGAUGGUAUUGGGAUUGAUCUUCAUGGCGGGUAUGUGGAUAAGAGUAAUCCAUGGAAAUGGUGUUUCUGUAUUUCCUUCUGCUGAGACAGAUCUUUGUGCUUUGGCGAUAAUGUGGUUGGAGGAGCUGCCGACAUCUGAGGUGGCUAUUGGAUCGGCGGUGUUGGCUCUGAGAAUCCAUGGUGGUUGGUUUCGGUUUCUCUUGUGAGCUUAUGCUUUCUCUCUCUCUAGUUUCUCUUUCUUCCUCACUGACUUUCUUUUCAGUGUGGUGUCGGACUUGAAAAUGGUUUUGUUUAAUUGAGAUUGACUUGAGAUAGAGAGAGUUGAGCGUCUCUCGGUUUUGUAGAUCCACAGUGGACAGUGGUGAGAUAAAAAAAUGAAAGAAAACUGACAUAGCUUUUUGUGUCGUUUCCCACAGACAGCGCCAAAUGUUGAUGCACAAAAUCAGUGAGGACUUUGGUACAACAGAAAGUGUGAAGUUUGUGACCUUCGCUAGAUUGCUCCGGUCACUAAUGUGGAUAAAUAUGUAAAUGGAUAGGGACAAGGAAGCAAACACAAGAUGUAUGUGGUUCACCCAGAUUGGUUACGUCCACAGAAUAGAGGAGUUCUCAUUAAUUGUGAAGGGUUUACACAAGUACAUAGGUUCAAGCUCUCCUUUAAUGAGUACUAGUGAAUGAUUUAAUACAAAUGACAUUAGGAAAUAUUGUGAGAGAAUAAUCUUUAUUUAUAGAAGAGAGUUUCUAGUUUCAUUCUAACAUUGACACGUAUCGUAUUAUGAUUGGCUUCUGAUGUUAACACGUGUCGCGCUGUGAUUGACCUCCUGGUUGGAGGGAAAGUCUUCUGGGUCCUUGACGGUAUAACGUUGACCGAUGCUCAGUAGUUUCGGGAUUGGUCAAGUAUGGUACAAAUAAAAUACAAUAUCCCGUAGUUGAUCUUCGUGUUGUUGGACAAGCUACCCAGUCCGAGUCACAAUAUGCAUUUAAGACCAAAUCAUUCUCAGAAAAGAAGAACAAACCUUGUCCGGGUGUAUUUUUGAUAUAUUUCAAAAUUCGAAGGGCUGCUUCCAUGUGUGGUGUGCGAGACUCAUGCAUAAACCUACUCAACACAUGCAUGAAAUAGGUUAUAUCCGGCCUAGUGAUUGUUAGGUAUAUCAGACGCCCCACCAAUCUUCUAUAUUUUGUCGGGUCUUUGAGGAUUGCACCAUUGUCUAAUAACUUAAGAUUCUGUUCCAUGGGAAAUUCGACGAGGCGAGCUCCCAAAAGACCUCAAUCUUUCAAUAUUUCUAAAGCAUACUUCCGUUGGGAAAUAAAGAUCCCUUUCUUAGAACGUGAUACUUCAAUCCCAAGAAAGUACUUCAAAUUGCCAAGAUCCUUGAUUUUAAAACGACCAUUAAGGAACCGUUUUAGGGCAUCGAUAGCACUCGAAUCAUUGCCCCUAAUCAAAAUAUCAUUAACAUAAAUUAGGAAGGCUGUAAAAGACUUGCCUUGUUUCCGGGUAAAUAAAUAGUAGUCAGCCUUAAAUUGUACAUAACCAGCGGAUUGAAUCAAGUCAGAAAACUUUGCAACCAUUGACGAGAAGCUUGUUUCAACCUAUAUAAAGACUUGCUAAGGCGACAUACCAAGUUCUCCCCCUGUCGUCGAAGACCUGAAGGAGGAGUCAUAUAAAUUUCUUCACGAAGGUCACCAUAAAGAAAAGCGUUGUUAACGUUUAACUGAUGAAGAGACCACUGCCGGGAAGCAGCAAGAGCCAAUAAACACCGAACAGUGACCAUUUUGGAAGUGGGAGAAAACGUGUCAUGGAAAUCAACACCCUCAAGCUGGGUAUAGCCCUUGGCAACCAAACGUGCCUUAUAACGCUCAAUGGAGCCAUUAGAACGAUGCUUAAUCUUGUAAACCCAACGGCAGCCAAUGGGAGUUUUGCCACGAGGAAGAGGAGUAAGAGACCAAGUGCGGUUAGCUUCCAAUGCCUCUAAUUCAGAAGUCAUGGCAGCUUGCCAAUGAGGAAAAUGAGCAGCUUCCUCAUAACUCCGGGGUUCAACCUGUUGAGUAAUAUGGGCAAGGAAAGAUUGCUGUGCAGUUGAGAAACGAUGGUAAGUAAGGUAAUUAGCAAGUGGAUAUCGUGUACCUGGAGUGGGACCAGAUAAUGAAGACGAUGGAGGAGGGGAUUGGGUAAGCUUGAGAGUAGGACACUCAUAAUCACGUAACUUGGGUGGCGGAGAAGAAUGACGGCUAGAGCAACGAAGUGUUGUAGGGUGAGGUCAGGAACUGCAGAUGUAGGAAGUGUUGUAGGAAAAGGAGGCGCGGGAGAUGCGGCAUCAGCAGAAAUGGACAACUCAAGUGGAAUCAUAAGGUCAGAUGGGUGGAUAACGGAGGGUGACACGAGAUUAGGUAAGUGAGGUGAAAUAAGUGGGGUAGGUGAAGACACAGGUUAAGGGGAAGAUGAAGAAGGUGAGGUAUGAUAAGGAAAAAUAUUUUCAUGGAAGACAACAUCACAACUAGUAAAGAUUUGGUGAGUGGUGAGGUUAUAUAAUUUGUAGGCUUUCUGACCAAUGGGAUAUCCUAUAAAAAUGCACGUGUGGGCAUGAGGAGAAAAUUUGUGAUUAACAUUGACGUUAGUGGCAAAAGCAAGGCAACCAAAGACUCUAAGGUGUGAAAAAGUAGGAGGUUUAGAAUAUAAACGUUCAAAAGGCGUUUUCUUGGAAAUAAUGGGUGUGGGAAUAUGGUUAAUGAGAUGAACGGCUGUGAUCACACAUUCACCCCAAAAAUGGAGGGGAAGAUUAGCUUGAAAACGCAAGGCACGAGCGGUUUCAAGUAUAUGUCGAUGCUUGCAUUCUACGACCCCAUUUUGUUGAGGCGUAUAAAUGCAAGAAUGUUGGUAAAUCACUCCAUGAUCUUUAAAGAAAUCACGAAGGGAAAAAAAAUUCCCCACCAUUGUCAACACGAAUUUGACGAAUAGAAGUAUUAAAUUGAGUUUUGACAAAAGAAAAAAAAUUCUUAAGAAUAGAUUGUGUUUCAUUUUUGUGUUGCAUAAGGAAAAUCCAUGUGAAGCGAGAAUAAUCGCCUACAAUGGUGAAAAAAUACUUUGCUCGAGAAGUAGAUGCAACUUUAAAGGGUCCCCAGAUAGCACAAUGAAUCAAAACAAAGGGUUUAUUAGAAGAAAUAAAACUAACACUAAAAGGUAAUCGAUGUUGCUUGGCUAAAGGACAAAUAUCACAAGCAUUAUUAGAUGCAAAAGGGAAAUGUAACAAUUGUUUGGACAUGAAAUCUAAACGAGGGGCUGAUAAGUGACCCAAACGCCGAUGCCAUAGCUCUGUAGAUGAAAGCACAAGGUUGCAGAACCGCCGAGGAUGCUGAGACCGCGCAGGAGCCAAGGCCACCAAGUAGUACAGCCCGCCUCUUCGCUUACCCAAACCAAUCACCAUCCUCGUCGUUAGGUCCUACGUAACACACCAAGAAGGAAAAAAUGUUACUAAACAAUGUAAUCCACUCGUAAUACGACUUACUGACAUCAAAUCUACUUUAAAGGUAAGCACACAUAACACAUCUUGCAAUCUAAAAGUAGAACUCAAAGGAAUGUGACCGAUGUAGUUGAAAAAUUCAAGGAGUUGAUCUUGUGUAAGUGAAGCAAUGUCUCAUUGUAGUUGAAAAAUUCGAGGAGCAUUACUUUGACCAUAGCGCUCACGAAAUACCUCCCAAAUAGCAUGAGCGUCAGUCAUAUAAAGGAUACUGUCAGCAAUAUCCGAGUCAAUGGAAUUAAUAAUCCAUGCUACAAUGAUGUCGUUGCAUCUCUGCCAUGAAGCGUGAUCUGGUCUUGACAGAAGGUUGCAUGACAGUGCCAUCAACAAAGCCAAGUUUGUUUUUGGCACUCAAGGAGAUCUUCAUAGCACAAGACACAGUUGAAUAAUUAUCCCCAUUCAAGGGCUUCGAAACCAGCAUCAUGGCUGGAUGAUCAAAAUGAUGAAUAAAAAAAGGGUUGGAAACAUUAGCCUUUGUAUCGGAAUUGUUUCCAGAAACAACGUCGGUGGCCAUGGCAAACGAUGGAAAAGAAUAAGCGAAAAUAACAGAGAAACAAAAGGCAACGGAAGGAACUAGGUUUUCAGCCUGGCUCUCGAUACCAUGUAAAAACGUGCAAAGAAUAUUUUGCAUAAUUUCUUCAAUUGCUACUAAGAGUCUUUAUACAAAGAGAGAUCUUGCCGAAGAAGUAACCUAGCCUACAUUCUAGGUUUUACAAUAUUCACAAAUAAAUUACAAACAAUUUACAAAAUAGUUUCCUAAAACUAAGCCAAGAUAUCAGGAAUGAUAUCAUUGACUUCUCAACAUGAAAAACCAUACACUCGCCAUCAAUUUUAUUAACUUUAAUCUUUUUCGUUGAGGGUUGAUUACUUAAGUAAAAAAAUAGCAUUUUGGAUCUUUGACUUUAGGUUAUAAGUAUCAGAUAGUGAAUUCAAACUCGAAUACUAUCCAAUUGUUGAAAUUCAAACAAAGCUAAAGAAAAUUGAAGAAAUGAGGUUUUUUCAUCGAUUCUUUAAGCAUAUUCACAUAAUAAUUAUCAUAUCAUGCCUUAAAAUUGAAACCGUAAAAGCUGAUUCUUUACAUGAAUAUCAACCAUGGGUCUUGAAAUGUCCAAACCAUGUCCUUUCUUGUAGUCCCGAGUCCAAAACUUCUUAUAAUACUCAGUGUAGGUGUAGCCUCUGUAUAUGGCUACAUAUCCAUUCUCUGUGAGAGUUUUUGCUGGGCUUAUCAGAGCAUCGUCUUUAGGGCAGAAGAAUGAAGCUACAUUUUGAUCUCUAUUGACGGGUAAGCUUGGGUGAUGAGAAAUACAUAAGGUCCUGAAUAUUUUGUGUUCGUGGCAGCACUUACACGUGAUCAGUCUAUCGUACACCAGAUUUUCUCAUGUUUUAGACCCCAUUGGAUGGGUAUGAAUCCAAAUUUAUGACAUACAAGCAACAUAAAAUCACUUUAUUAUAACUAUUUCGUAACAUAUGAAAAUCUACUUAUGGUGAAAAUUCCAGAUGCGAUCACCAUAUCAGAAACCAAACAAUAUGGAUGCAGAUGGCAGCAUACCACUGGCAAAGUUAUACUCAAUUCUUCUUAAGAAACUCAAUGACAUAGGUGUUGAAAGCGGAGCGGAUGACUCGGAAGCCUUGGUAUCCAGAUCCCUUAGCCAAGGCCUCAAACUACUUUUCCGUCCUCUCUUUUCCGCCGGGGUUGUGAGCUAACAAGAUCACGUCGAUAUGGACAACUCCCUUGAUGGCAAGGCUGCUGUCCGGAGCUACUGGAAGAAAGCACAUUCAGCAAGAAUCACCUUCCCAUUGUCGGGUAGCGCGGUAUAGCAGUUCUUCAAAAUUUCAAAUAAUACUCGUCACUCCAUUCAUGACAAAUCCACUGUGAGAUUGCAUAGGCAAUUUGAUAGUAGUUCCAAAUAUAUUAAGAAACUAAGCUUAAGUGUUGAGAAUGAGUCACACAUUAAUAGGAGGAGGGAUCUUACACGGGUUUAUAAGGGGUUGGGCUACUUCCUAUAUUGUCAAUUGGUUUUAUGGUAGAACCUCAACUUUUUUCAUGUUAUUAGAGCAUGUUGUCCCACUGUUGAAGCCUAAUAGCCACACGCGGCCCACGUCACGCCGAUGUGUUGUCCACGUGUUAAACUUGAAAAUUCGCCACACGUGAGAGAGCGUGUUGAGAAUGAGUCUCACAUUAAUGGGAGGAGGGACAUGCAGCCCACGUCACGCCAAUGUGUUGUUCACGUGUUAGACUUGAAAAUUCGACAUAUGUGAGGGGCGUGUUGAGAAUAAGUCUCACAUUAAUGGGAGGAGAGACAUGACACAAACUUAUAAGAGUUUAGACUACUCCCUAUAUUCCCAAUUGAUAUUAUGGUGGAACCUCAACUUUCUUCGAUAAGAAAUUGAUAUUACUACAAAAUAGUCAUCGACUCUCUUUUUGAUAAAUAAUAACUCACCUUCAUGAAAAUUGCAUCUCCCUUUGGAACACUUACAAACAUGUCUCCUCCAACAUGCUCUUCACCUAUAUCAAACAUCCAUAGAUCUCAUAUUCAUCAGGAAAAAGGAUAAAUAGUACAAACAUAAGCAAUAUUAGAUGAGGAGAAAUCAAACUUGAGAAAGAUCGAGGUAAAGGUGAAUGUUUUUUAAGUAAUUGUACUUCAAACAUUAUCAGAAUUGAAGAACAUACCAGAAUAUUGGGGAACAUCUUCUAUGAUAUGAGGCAAGUCGAAAUUAAUACCCUUAAUCGAGGGGUACUUAGAAAUGAUCAUGUUAACGACAGCGCGGGUGCCACCGCCAACAUCAACAAUGGAUGUGAGGCCCUCAAAGCCUUUGGAGAUCUCAAAAGUUUCUUCAUGGUAAGGGUAGAGUGGUCGGCCAUUCCCCGGUUGAAGGCCUUGUUGAAUCUAGGGUCAGUACCAUGGUACUCGAAAGCAGUCAUUCCAUAGGAUAGGCCUUGUUGAAUAGAAUUCCUCCUUCAAGAACUGCAUCUUUCGAGUGGUACAUGCACAAAACCAAAACAAGCAUACAUGUCAGUCUCACAACCAAAGCAUACACUAUGUGUAAAAUGAUGAACGACACGUCCUUUGAACAGUCAUAUGGUCAUGGCUCAUAUGUGACCCGCUUAACUCACAAGCAUCAAAUGCUAUGGAAAGGGAUUCCUUCCUCCUAAUCCACUAAAUUAGGGAAUUUGUGUCGUUGAAAAUUGAUCCAACGGUUGAAGUUAUUAUAACUUUUAAAGUGAACCCCUAUUUGUAGCCGUUUGAUCAAUUUUUAACGGCACAGAUUUUCUGAUUUGAUGGAUUAGGAGGAAGAGAUCCGGAGAUGAUCCCUUUCCAAAUGUUAUGGGCUUGUUAAAAUAAUUAUUUUAUUAAUGUGAAUUAUGUCAUUUAGCAAAGUAGUUUCCUCUCUUACACUACAAUUUCAUUUUAGGCGUUUUUAUGAAAAUGAUGGAGGAAGGGAUUUAAAUUUCGCCUCUAGAAAAUUUACCUAACUCAUAUCAGCACCUUAUGGAAGAAUAGAAUAGUUAAAACAUAGAGGUAAAGUUCCUAAAAGCAUUAAACGCUAAUCAGGCGAGUGUCUGGGUGAGUUAGACGAGUGCAUUGACAGGUCGAAAUGCAAUUUCUUAAUUUCCAAACUCUUUGAGAUUAAUUGAGGAUGAUGACUAACCGCUUAGCGCCAAGUCGCAUACGAGGCAAUGAGAAUUUUUAGAACAUUCGAAAAAUAUUAUAAGAAAGAAACUUUUUCACAGUGAAACAAUGGUGUUCUUGGUGAAGGGGUACCAGCUUUCCACUCAUUUUGCUUAUGUGGCAAUCCUAAAAUAGGUGAGCAGUCAUCACCAAUCCAUUGUUACCUCCUGACUAGGCCUAUCGGGCCGUUCAAUUUUUAUCCAACGACUACAAACAGUGGGUUCUUCUAAAAGUUAUAAUAAUUAUAACCGUUGGAUAAAAAUUGAACGGCCUGAUGGGCCUAGUCAGGAGGAUCCUCUCCAUCUGCUCAGGAGAGGAUCCUGAUCCAUUGUUACGUAUCUUGUUCGAGUACGACGCAUAUGUCGUCUACUUAUUAUCCUCCCUGAAGAUCAAAGAAAGAAAUAUAUGUCGACUGUUUAUAUCCCAAUCACUCUAAAUAGUCAAAAAGUUAUGCAUCGUCCUCUCGAGUCUUCUGCCUUCCGUUAAAACUGAACUAAUCAUACUGCAAAGUAUUUUAGCUCAAUCACCUUAAAAUGACGAUAACAUUCACCACUUUAUUACCAUUAAAUUUCUAAAUCUGUUUAAUCAUAAAUAUAAAUCUCAAAAUUUAAACACAAACACACCCACUCAAAUUAAACAGCUUAACCGAAGAAUCAUUCAGAACUCUUAAAACUCGGAUAAAAAUGAUCAAUUUCCAAUCAUGUCCGUCCCCACGACCAAAUUGGCCAAAAGUAAUGUGAACAAAAAAGACCAUGUUAGUAAAGGAUAAUGCUAGGUAAAUUAAUUUUUGGGUAAUGCUAAAAAGACUAAAUAUUCAAAUUAAAUUUAGUAAAUUAAAUGACAUAGAAGUUGAUAAUUGGAUUAUCAGUUAAGUGUUAAUUAACGUGCGGGUAAUGUUAGGAAGACUAAAUUUGUAAAAAAGAUUUACAAACUAAAUGAUGUAUCACUAAUAGGAAUGAGCACAUUUACCAACACUUGAGUAAUUUAGUUUACAAAACUUUGUCUAAAAAUUUAGUCUCCCUAACAUUACCUUUAACGUGUUUGUUUUUUAUUAGUAACACAUCAUUUAGUUUACAAAUUUAGUCUAUCUAGUAUUACUCUUAAUUUUUAGACUAAUUUUUUAAAGCAAUAUGAACAAAUUUAAUGAUAACUUACAAAUCCAAACUUUCUUAUCAAAAAGUGCAGUUUUGCUUCGAGAGAUAUUUGUUGAUUUUUCUCUCGAAUUUGUAUGGAGCUGUCAAUUUCUUUAUAAACUAAAUUUAGCCAAUUACUCCCCCUAAACUUUUAUAAUUGACCAAUUUUUCCCUUGAACUUUAAUUUUAUAAUUGCAAAAAAAAUAUUGUUAUCCCUAAUGUAGACAACAUAAUUGUUUUUCUUCUUCUUCUUCUCUUCCGCUAGUUCACUCCGCACACUUUUUGUUUGAAUUUUAAAAUUUAGGGGAAAAUUUUCAAUUAUAAAAGUUCGGGGGGUAAUCGGCUAAAGUUAAACUUAGGGGGUAAAUUGGCCAAUUCUAAAAAUUUAAGGAAGUAAUCGGCAAUAAAAAAUUGACAGCUCUUUACAAAUUCAAGAAGAAGAUCAACCAACGCCUCUUUAUUCAAUACAUGUCGUACUCAAUGGGUUAUAAUUAACGUGAAAGCAUUUCAUAUCAUUCGACUAUGAUAUAUUGUUCGGUUGGAUUUGGAGUGGUAGGUUGGAUCUGUAUAUACAUCACUUCGAGCAUAAGGAUUACCUAGUAAAGUAAUAAGAAAUACAAGAAGAAGUAAAACUCUUCAAUCCAACAUUACAAGGGAGAAUUGGAAAAAAUAUUGAAUUGUUCCUCUGAAGUCCUUGUAGCCGGUGAUAGAGCAUAAUUUACAAUAAGGUCUUCCUUCUUUAUUUAUUUCUCUUAAUUUCUGGUGUUUGAAAAGAUUUAAGUUCAAACUUUUUGUUCAAGCAAUUGUGAAAUGAAACAAAGAGGCUGGAAUGGCAUUGGACAAAUACAAGUGAUAUUUUAUAAAAGAGUAAUUUGCGUAGAACACGUUUAUCGUUAUUGUGAUAUUUCAAUUCAAUAAUGCAAAACAUCUUAAAAAAUUUACACAUAACAUUAUAUAACAAAAAUAAAAUGUCAUGAUAAAUACGUUUACGUAAGUUCUUAUCAAGCAUCAUAUAGUUUCGUAAAGCUCAAAAAGGUAGAUAGUAUAUAAAGAACCAUAUACUUUCGUCAAGCUCAAUAAGGUAGAUAGCAUAUACUAAUUGAGAUGAUGUCAUUGUCAUGGUAUGGUAUCCUGGCUAAUAGAUCUAUGAAGGAAAAUUUAGUAUGAACUCGUAUAACUUCUCUAUACUCGGCUUAACUUUAAACAUGAAAUAUCUUUAUUAUCAUAUUGCAUAAUUACCAUCAAGUAUAAAAUAAAAUUAAUAAUAAAAAAAAUUUAUCAAUAAACUCAUUCUCAAUAAUCAAACCCUAAUCAUUACGUAAUCUUUCUCUUAUGUUCUAUCGUGGAAAAAAUCAUAAGACGCUCUCAUAGAGAAAAACAAGUUUUUUUUUUUUUUUUUACGGAUGAACGGUAAUUUUAAAGUUUUGGAUCCUCCCACUUUUAUCAUUGUCGUCAUCAUACUACCUCCACCACCACCACCACCACCACCACCACCACCACCAACCCUACCACCACCGUCAUCAUCUCCAACAUUACUUGUCACGUCCAUGAAACCUACUUGUACUUCUGCUACUACUGUUGCCAAAACAAAAAACAGCGGCUGAUCAAGAUCAACGGCAAGACAUAAGAAGAGGAGGGAAGAGAGAUGGCAGGUUUUCACUAGUACUGCUAUCUCUUAUACAUGAUAUCAAAACCCUACUUAUUGUAUGAGUAGUGUUUCUCGGACAAAAGGGGGUUAUCCAACUCUUUGGCUCAAGGGGAUCAAGCGUAUCGGUCCAACCAUUUACUACAUCAACCUAGCAAAUCCACGCGUACAUAGCUUUUUCUAAAUUUUUGGCUACCAGCUAUUUCACUUUUAGUUAUCCCUUUUAAUUAAGUAAUGAAAGUUAUUUUCUUUAAUUAACAUGUUCAGAUGUUACUCAUACCUAAUUAGUAGCUAGUCUUGUUGUGUAGCUGUAAACAUGUGAGAGCAUAAUAAUUAUUGCACUUCGUUCCAUUUUGUUUGCAUUGUUGAGUGUUGAUAAUUAAUGAUGCAAUCUUAUUACUAAUUUAUUUAUAUAUUGUGAGAAGAGAUUACAUUUCUCAAUUUCUAACUUCCGUGCAUGACUUUGCUAGCUGUUAUUCCUAGUACUACAAGUCAACCUACAAAAUACGCAUGCAUUUAUAAAACUAGCUAGGGUUUGGUUAAUUUGGUUUGACUCUCGUAGUCUCAUGGCAAUUAUGUUUAAUUAGAUUAAUGAAUUUAAUUAACAUGGAUCUUUACCAAAUUGAUCCGGGUAUUUUCUAAUGUGAAAAAUAAUGAUUGUAAAGAGAAACUUAUAUGUUGAAUUAAGUUUGUGAGGGUAGUUUAGAUAAUAAAUAACGAUUUAAAAAGAUAUUAAUAAUUUAAUUAAAAAUAAUACAAAUCUAAAAAGUAUGUUCUAUGCAGAAAAAAAGUUGGAUAAGCUUCAAAUAAAAUUUCUCAUGCAUAAAAAAAAGAUGUGACUAUUUAAUAAGGAGCAGGUAUGCAUUUUUUCACCUAAGAUGCCCUGAAAGAUCAAAUCAAUUGGUGAGUGGAACCUGUACGUCCAUAUCCGAAAGUUAACCUAAUUUAUAUAAAUGUGGUGGCGUAACUUAGUCUCCAUAAUAAUUCAGGUACUGUAUUGAUUUCUUCGACUCCACUUAAACUGAACAAGUUUGGUUCUCAUGCUUAAUUGGGACAAUAGUCUAGAAGAGUGCUUGGACCAUCAUUCUCACAUACAAGUUGUGUAGGUGAGUUGAUUAUUGCCGUUUGAGAAAUGCUAAGAAGACUAUUUUCUAAGUGAGAUUUUUUGUUAACUUACAAUUUAACGUUAAUUUUUAUGUCAAUAUUAUAAAAUGUGUGUGCAAAAAACAUGAGGUGACAGAAAGUCCAUCAAGAGUCUUACUUUUAAGAUAGCCCCUAUAACAUUUCUCUUUCCUUUUUUAUUUUGUGAAUCUCAUACGCAUGAACAAUUAGAAUCAGUUUCAAAAUUAAUCCUAGCCACACCAAAUUAGGUAAUUCUAUGAAAACUCACAUUUCAAUGAUCCAAACAAAAGUGUUGAACAUUACUACACAUCGAAUAUUACUAUAUCUUAAUGUUUGCUCAAAUUAAUUACUCAAAACAGUAUGAAACAACCAGUUUGUUGAAAAUUGAAAUACAAACUCCAUGAAGUAUUAAGUAGGUGCACAAGCAUGUGGUCUAAUAUCUUAGUUAAUAGAGUUAGAUUUUUAUCUAUAUGCGUGCCAAGUUCGAAGCCCCCAUCUCCUUAAUUAUUGUAAGAGAAAUGCUAAGGAGACUCUCUCAAAAGUAGGAUUCUCCAUAAACUCUCUGCAACCUCAUGUUUAUUACACAAUAUUUUAUAAUGUUGGCACGAAAAUUAACAUUAAAACAUGAGGUAAACAAUUUCAUGUGCGACGUCUAUGCUUCUUUAAAGGUGGAAUGUUUUGAAGAAAUCUCACUCGCGAUCAAUUUUAUUAAUUAACUUUAAAUCUAUCCGUUGAGAGAGUUGAUUACUUAGGUAAAAAAUUGCGCUAGAGCGUUGAUUUUAGGUUAUAAGUGUAUACAAACCUGAAUUCUAUCCAAUGGUUGAUAGACACCCUAAAACAAUCAACCAUAGUGAUAAGUUCAAUCAAAGGUAAAGAAAAUUGAAGAAAUGAGAUUUUGUCAUCGAGUCAAUUCUUUAAGCAAAUCCAAAUAAUAAUGAUCGUAUUAUACCUUAAAUUGAAACCGUAAAAAAAAGUGAUUCUUUACAUGAAUAUCAACCAUUCCCAUAAAUGAUAUCAAAGUUAAAUCAUAUUGAUUGUGGCUGAGAUUUUCUCAAAACGCAAGUUCUUUUACAAAGAAAAAACAUUGUGCAUAGAGAGAAUCUCAAAUUGUCAAUUUGUACAUGAUUGUAAAUCAAAAUUAUUGGUUGGUGCAUGCUCUAAGUAAUGGGAUUUAGCGUCGAGCCGUUAACAACACUGUUAGAGCGAGGCUCACAAUAGCUUCAUUCAUCUGCCCACAAGAUGAUACUCUGAUACGCCCACAAAAAAACUCUCAUAGAUGAUAGGUCUUUAUUUUUUCUUUAUGGCAGUACAGACACUUGUUUUGUCCGUUGUACACCAGGUUUUUUCAUGUUUUACACCCCAUUGCAAGCGUAUGAAUCCAAAUUUAUAACAUACAACGAACAUAAAAUCACUUUCAUAUUACCUUUUUUUUUUUUUUUUUUUUUGUAACAUAUAAACCUAGUUAUGGUGAAAAAUAUACGACCACCAUAUCAAAAUAAAAGCAAUAUGAAUGCAGACGGCAGCAUACCACUGCCAAAGUUAUACUCAAAUCUUCUUAAGAAACUCAAUGACAUAGGUGUUGAAAGCGGAGCAGAUGACGCGGAAACCUUUGAAGCCAGAUCCCUUAGCCAAGGCCUCAAACUCCUUCUCCGUCCGCUCUUUUCCUCCGGGAUUGUGAGCUAACAUGAUCACGUCGAUAUGGACAACUCCCUUGGUGGCAAGGCUGCUGUCUGGAGCUACUGGAAGAAUGCACUCAGCAAGAAUCACCUUCCCAUUGUCAGGGAGCGCGGUAUAACAGUUCUUCAAAAAUUUCAAGCAAUGAUCGUCACUCCAGUCGUGACAUAUAAACUGUAAGAUUGCAUACAUGAUUUGAGAGUAGUUCCAAAUUAUUAUGCAACUAAGCUCUUAUAAGAAAUUGAUAUUAGCACUACAAAAUAGUCAUCGACUCUCUUUUUGAUAAAUAAUAACUAACCUUCAUGAAAAUUGCAUCUCCCUUUGGAACACUUACAAACAUGUCUCCUCCAACAUGCUCCACACCUACAUCCAACAUCCAUAGAUCUCAUAUUCAUUAGGGAAAAUGAUAAGUAGUACAAACAUAAGCAAUAUUAGAGGAGGAGAAAUCGAACUUGAGAAAGAUCGAGGUAAAGGUGAAUGCUUUUAAGUUAUUGAACUACAAGCAUUAUCAAAAAUGAAGAAUAUACCAGGAUAUUGGGGAGCAUCUUCUAUGACAUGAGGCAGGUCGAAGUUAAUACCCUUAAUCGAGGGGUACUUAGAAACGAUCAUGUUAGUAAUAGCGCCAGUGCCACCGCCCACAUCUACGACGGAUGUGAGGCCCUCAAAGCCCUUGUAGGUCUCUAAAAGUUUUUUCAUGGUAAUGGUAGAGUGGGCAGCCAUUCCUCUGUUGAAGACCUUAUUGAAUCUAGGGUCAGUGCCAUGGUACUCAAAAGCAGUCAUUCCAUAGGCCUUGUUGAAUGGAAUUCCUCCUUCAAGAACUGCAUCUUUCAAGUGGUACCUGCACAAACCCAAAACAAGCAUACAUGUCACUCUCACAACCAAAAGCAUAUAGUAUGUGUAAAAUAACGAAACAACACGUCGUUUGAUCAGUCAUAUGGGCAUGGCUCAUAUGUGACCUAGGCCAAGCCACCUACCACGUGUUUCAAUGCCCGCAUAACUCACAAGCAUCAAAUAACAAGGGAUUGUUGACAUAAUUAUUGUAUUGAUGUGGAUUACGUUAUUUAGCAAAGCAGUAUCCUCUUAUAUUCGAGUAUACAGUUUUGUUCCGACGUUCUUAUGAAAAUUAUGGAGGAGGGGAUUUAAAUGACCUCUAACAAAUUGACCUAACUCACAUUCGAACUUUAUGAAAGAAUAAAAUAAUUAAAGUGUCAAACAAUGGAGUCAUACAAAGGAAAAAUGUUAAGAUGUAAUUAGAAUAUCCUCCAUUUUUUUUUCUAACUUGUUUAAAUUAAACAUAUGUUCCUUUACAAAAUUCGAUUGAGAUGUUUUGGUCAAUUGCCAACUAAGCAUUUUUUAAAUUUUUAAUAUAUAUCUACUUAAAGUAGCUAACAACUAAUUUCCUACUAUUUAAAAAAUUUUAAAGUCGUGGCUUUAUUAGAAUUAUCAAUUUAACUAAUUUCUCAAUGUCACUAAAAAAAGAGAAACCUUUUAUUUUUGUUAUUAUAUUUAAUUAGCCUCUUCUUCUAUUUAAAAAAGUCAUUAAUAAUUUUAGAAAAAAAAAACUUCAUUAAUUUGUUAAAAUUUUAGUAAGUUAUAAAAUAAUAUAUUUAAAACUUAUAGUACAUUUUGAAAAUAAACAUAUUGAUUUUUUAUGUUUAGAUUCUAAAUAUACUAAGGAACAAAAUGUACCAUAAAAGCAAAUAUAUCUAUAUUAUAGGUAAUCAAACGUAUCAAUAUAGUCAAUCGUACUUCUGAUAAACUUGUAAAAAAAUUUCGACAGAAAAAAAAACUUGUAAAAAAAUGUUUAAUUAAAAUUUUAAAAUAAAUAAAUAUUUAAUCACCAAAAUUGAAAAACGAGACUUUUUUUUCAAACACCUCAAAGAUUAACAAAAACAGAAACGUUUGACAUUUAAACACCAUGGUAUGGUUGGUGAAGUGAUGAUUUCCACUCCUAAUUUGGUUAAGUGGCAAUCCUAAAACAAGUGGCCCAGUCAUCAUCAAACCGUUGUUCGUAUCUUGUUCGAGUACGACGCUUAUCUCGUCCAUUUAUUAAUCUUACCUGACGAUCAAAGAAAGAAACAAAAAUAUGUCGUCUGUUUUAUGUCGUCUGUUUUAUAUCCCUAUCACUCUAAACAAGUCAACAAGUUUGGCAUCGUCCCCUCGAGUCUUCUGCCUUUCAUUAAGAUUGGACCAAUUACUAUUCUAAAAUGUUAAGGUUGAAUAGCACCGAUAAUAAUACUCACCAUUUUAUUAGAAGAAUUUAAAAUUUUAAAUCUUGUCUAAAAUAAAUAUAAAUUUCAAAACUUAAAUUAAUAAUAAAAUAAUGAGAAACAGCAAGUCAAAUUAAACGGCUUCACAGAAGAAUCUUUCGAAAACUGUGACAAGAAUGAUCAAUUUCCAGUCUUGUCUGUUCCCAACGACAAAAUUUUUAUUGUGACAAGAAAACAAGAAUACAUCACGUAGUAAUAAUUUAUUUUUUACGUUAUUAACUUUUUAACACAUAUAUUUUAUUAUUUGUAUAAUGAUAUGUGAUGUACCAUCUCGUGUGCCGGUUACAUUGAAAAAUCUUUUGUCCCCAACGACCAAAUCAGGAAUAAAAUUUUAAUUGUUACGGGACAUAGAUGGUACAACACGUGUUUUUAUGUAAGUGGUAAAAAAUUUUACUUUUUAAGUUAUUAACUUUUUAACACACAUAUUCAAUUAUUUGUAUAGCGAUACUUGGUGUACCAUCUCGUGUACCGAUCAUAUUGAAAAAUCUUUUCAAAUCGGGCAAAAGUAAUACGAGCAAAGAAGAAAAUAGUUGAGAAAGAGAAUGGUUAAGUAGAAUGUUUUAACCGUGGAAUUACUUACGUAAUCUUCGUCAUAUUAGUUUUUGACAUAAUAUUUUAUAAUAUUAAUAUAAAAAAUGUCAAAAAUUAUGAGAGGACGAAGAGUCUAUGAAGACUUUCUUUAGCAUUUCCCAAAAAGAAAUGUUAAGUAGAGUCUGCACAGACUCUGACAACUUAUGUUUUUUGCAUAAAUUUUAUAAUAUUGGUACGAAAAAUGAAUGGAAAUUGAGGUGGUAAAGAGUUUAUAGAAAAUCUCACUUUGAUAGAAUCUCUGUGUCAUAUCUCUUAGUAGAAAGGAUAAUAUUGGGUAGAUAAACUUUUUAGACAAAAUUUAUAAUUGAUUUGAUGUGUCACCAGUAAAAAUAAACAUGUUAAUCAUCAAGAUAUCAAUAAACACAAUAUAUAGUUUUAAACGAGAAAUGUUAAGACGACUCUCAUUGGACUCUUUGCCACCUUAUGUUUUUUAUAAAAUAUUUUUAUAAUACUGACAAAAAAAUUAACUUUAAACUAUAAAGUGGCAGAGAGUACGUGGAAAGUGUCACUUUAAGAGAGUCCUCUUAGCAUUUCUCUGAUAAAAUAUGUAUUAAAUAGAUAGUAUCUAUAACAUUACUCUACUCUACUAAUAAGGGUAAUGCUAGGAAAUGUUGUAAAUUAAAUGAUAUAGUUGUGAUGAUUGGAUUAUUAUUUAAAUGUUGAUUACCUUUAUUUAUUAUUGAUAAUAUAUAAUUUAAUUUGUAAAUUUAGUUUAACAAAUUAGUCUCCUUAAUAACCUCCUAAAAAUAUAGAUAACAAUCACAUACUCAAGGCCCAACUCACAGUAAGUAACAUUUUUAUGAAUUUAUUCUGAUCAACCUAUUUAAAACCCAUUAUUAAUGUUUGUUUACGAUCAAAUUAGGAUGAUAAAUUAAGAAGAAUGGUAAUUACCAGCUCUCCAUGAGGACCUUGUCCUGAUUCAUGAGGCAGAGAGGAGCAAUGGAAACACCAUCCUCGUUCUUUGUCAAGAACUUGCAGACGGGGCCGAGGCCGUACAGCUGCUCGACAUUGCCGUCGCGAAGCGUGCGGAGGGAGUAAGUGAGGAUGGAGUAGCUGGCCAGGAGGCGCAGCAUGCGGUCCAGCAUGACGGUGGCGUCAGGGUUCUUGGUCGGCAGCUGCGAAGCUAAGUCUGCCGGAGAAACGAAAGCGCCAGGCCCUGCUCUCGCCAUGAUCUCGAGGAGGUCGAGCUCAAGGGCUGCCUUGAGCACCAUGGGGAGAACAGAGGCGCUGGCUAGCUGCAUGGCGAAGAGGUUUGCUUCUUCGUCGGAAACUUGCGUUGGAGUCAUCUGAGUCUCUACGGU